rnacentral:rRNA from 1 species
UACGUAGGGGGCGAGCGUUGUCCGGAGUUACUGGGCGUAAAGCGCACGCAGGCGGUCUGCUAAGUUUGGAGUGACAGUUGGUGGCUUAACUGCCAAAGUGCUUCGAAACUGACAGACUUGAGGGCUUCAGAGGGACACGGAAUUCCGGGUGGAGUGGUGAAAUGCGUAGAGAUCCGGAGGAACACCAAAGGCGAAGGCAGUGUCCUGGGAGUACCUGACGCUCGAGGUGCGAAAGCCAGGGAGCGAACGGGA